UUUUUCCCUUGUUUUUCCCUCUUUUCCCCUUGUUUUUCCCCUUUAUUCCUUUCCCUUGACCUUUGCUGAGAUGCACAGUCACCCUUCAGGACCUUCCAGGGCCGCUUCUCUAAUCUCCCCAGCAGGAUUAAUGCUGCUGGAAAGCACGAGGGCUUGGAGCAGCUAUCAACUUUAUCAGGAAAGCUUCUUUCCGGCCAAGCUUUGCUAAGCGGGAAUCUUGGGCUGGAGCUGCUCGUCUCAUGUUUCACAGAUGGCCUCAAUGAAUGAUUUACUAGGAGAGGAAAAGAUUAACCAGAUUCCCCCAGCAGCAUCUCGGGUCGCGUAAAGCACUGGGUUUUACUGGGGCCUAGGCAAGCCCUCACUCUUUACCCUCGUUAGGCUCUUUUACAGUGACUAAUUGCCCUGCGCUCCCUUCCCUGGGAAUGGGGAAUCUCCUGGUGAGGAACCCACGCUCCUCGCACGAGCAGCUUUGGAACAGCCACAGCAGCGAAGGCUUCUCCAUGCAGGCAGCUUUGCAGAAUCCUCCUGUGGAGAAGAGCCAUUGCUGGAGGGGUCACACAAACGGUGCUUUGGCUGUACAAUCUUCUUGCCAAGCACAUUGAACGGAUGCCUGGGAUCCUGACUCUGAAAAGGCAUCAGGCCGCGAUUCCAGCCUUUUGCUGAGCAUCCCACCACGUUUGGAAGCCUGUGCUGGCAAGGGUGGGAGAGCUGUGCAAGGCACUGCUAUAAAACACUCCUCUUGCACUGUUGUCUUGUUUUUCAUGCUGUCCUUCCUGGAAACUGUUAUUGCCAAUGCAGCAGCGGCUCUGCUCCUACAGAAAGGGCUGUUCCCUGUGUGCCUGCCCUCAUCCAUGCGCAGGGAUCAAAGAUGCCCCUUUCCAACACCCAAACAGGAAUCGGGAAAAGGAAUGAGCUAAAAGAGGACUUCAAUGGAUCAUGAGUGUAAGAGAUUACUUGAAAUGCUCAUUUCCCACUGAUACUCCUUGCACUUUGUCAGGAUCCCAUCGGAGUGUGUCCCAGAGCGUGGCAGCCCCGGCUCACCCCCAGCAUGGGGAUGAUUGCUCAGUGGUAAGGGUAAGAAAUCUGGCUGGUUGUUAAUUUGAAAGCAUUUGGAGUGCUGAUGGCAUAAUAGAUAUGAAAGUUCACAGGACUCUGGCAACUCCUAACGUAUGAGGCCUUCGGAUGAAGAAAUGAAAGCUGCCUGUGAAGGAUUCCCAUUUGUCAUGAAAACCCCGCAGUACCACGGGACAGCUGUUUGCCUGGGAUCUGUACCUCAGAUGUAAGGAACCAGAACAGACAUGUGCUCUGUUGUACAAAGCCCAUAACCCCGGAGACAGGUAAAUCAUCCUUUAUAAGGAAAAAGCAUCAUACAGAAUUAACUUUUUCUAUAAAAGAUGUUUUUCAGGUUCUGUUCGCUAUUCCACAUAAUCAAAACCAUGGCUUGAAAUGCGCAA